rnacentral:rRNA from 1 species
AGAAUCAACGCUGGCGGCGUGCCUAACACAUGCAAGUCGAACGCGGUUACCCCGCAAGGGGUAACUGAGUGGCGAACGGGUGAGUAACACGUGGGUGACCUACCUUCGAAUGGGGGAUAACGUCCCGAAAGGGACGCUAAUACCGCAUAACAUCCUGCCUUUGAACAGGCGGUGAUCAAAGCCGGGGAUCGCAAGACCUGGCGUUUGAAGAGGGGCCCGCGUCCGAUUAGCUAGUUGGUGAGGUAACGGCCCACCAAGGCGACGAUC